GGUGCAUCUUUUAAGAUGCAGAUCUAGGGGUGAAAAACAUAUAUAUAUAUAUAUGUAUGUGUAUGUAUGUAUGUAUGUAUUCUGCCUUCAGCCCCUGAGAUUUUGGUGUACUUUCCUAUGCUGCUUGAAAGAUGGGCUGGUGGAUAUGCUUCAUCUAGCCUUUGCUGCUUCUCAGAGUUGGUGCCCGUAGCACAAUCCAUGUGGUGAGCUGAAGGAGCAGCUCCAGGAAACCACAGCCAUCCAGCUGAAGGGGCUGCAGGAGCACUGGCAGUCCACCCUCCAGCGAGCACAGAGGCGCGUGGCUUUGCUCACCCUUGAAGGGCAACCAUGAGGUAAGCCAUGGGCCCAAGAGGUCUCCAGCUGACUGACUGUGGCUCAGAUGUUGGCCCUUGGCCAACACAGCUCUUCAAGCUUGACUUAGCUCGACAGCUACUGGAACCACCUUGCUCUACUGCAACCAGGCAGCCACUCUCUCUCUUUCUAGUCUCUCUCUCUUGAUGGGCCAGCUGUGUUUUCGUGUUAACCUUGACUUCUUUCGCAGGGCGCUGAAGAAAUGCCCGGCUCUGGCAGUGGCAGCAGCGGCAGCCCCGCAGAGGUGUGGCGGCGUGAAGGCGAGAGGCGUGUAUCCGAGGGGCGGAGGGGAGGAACACGAGCGGCUCCCCGACGAGACGGGCGGGGGGGAGGUCUGCCUCCAGCAGAGCCUUCCCAAGGACGCCCCGACACCGCCGGGGACUGCGCAGGCUGAGCGAGAAGCGCGCACGGGGGGCUCCCGGGCCGCGACUUUCACAGCAAAAAAAAAAAACCUGGCGCAAACACAAAUAUUUAAAAAAAAAAAUAAUGAAAAAACAAUAAUAAUAAAACCAUGGCGUCCCUCCGGGCCGGGCCCUGCGCCCUGCGGCGGCCCCGUCCCCGUCCCCCGUCCGAGGAGGGGAGGCGCUGCGGCGGCCCCGGUGGCGGCGCUCAGGCCCUGCCGGCCGCGGCUCCUCCUCCCCGCCUUCCUCCCGCUCCUCCUCCUCCUCCUCCUCCUCCUCCUCCCGCUCGCUCCCAGGGCGCAGGGCUGACAUCACGCCCGGGGUUUCCAUCCGACCGCGGGAGGGGGAGGCUGAGCGGAGCGGCGGCGUGAUGGCGGCGGGCGCCAGGACCUGAGGAGCGGCGGCGGAGCGGAGCCGGAGCCGGAGCCGGAGCCGAGCCGGAGCCGGAGCCGGAGCCGGAGCGGCGCCCAGCCCCGCUUCUCCCCGCGCCCCUCCCUGCCCGGAGCCGGGCCCCAUUGUUCAGCCGGCCCAGGGCGGCCAGCGGGAGGAGCGGCGGCGGCGGCGCAGGCCCCG
rnacentral:lncRNA from 1 species